rnacentral:tRNA from 1 species
AUAGCUUUACCCUAAUGGUAAGGGAUACCUUUGCUAAAGGCAGCAUCUUGGUUCAAAUCUAAAGUACAUA